rnacentral:rRNA from 1 species
GUAGUCCACGCUGUAAACGAUGAAAACUAGAUGUUGGUCAGCAUGACUGAUGAGUAUCGAAGCUAACGCGAUAAGUUUUCCGCCUGGGGAGUACGGCCGCAAGGUUAAAACUCAAAGGAAUUGACGGGGGCCCGCACAAGCGGUGGAGCAUGUGGUUUAAUUCGACGCAACGCGAAGAACCUUACCUACCCUUGACAUCCUAGGAAUCUUACAGAGAUGUAGGAGUGCCGAAAGGAACCUAGAGACAGGUGCUGCAUGGCUGUCGUCAGCUCGUGUUGUGAGAUGUUGGGUUAAGUCCCGUAACGAGCGCAACCCUUGUCCUUAGUUACCAGCACGUAAAGGUGGGGACUCUAAGGAGACUGCCGGUGAAGAACCGGA